AUUGAACGCUGGCGGCAGGCCUAACACAUGCAAGUCGAGCGGAGCGGCGGACGGGUGAGUAAUGCCUAGGAAUCUGCCUGGUAGUGGGGGAUAACGUUAGGAAACGGGAGCUAAUACCGCAAACUCUCAGCUGAGCCUAGGUCGGAUUAGCUAGUUGGUGGGGUAAAGGCCUACCAAGGCGACGAUCCGUAGCUGGUCUGAGAGGAUGAUCAGUCACACUGGAACUGAGACACGGUCCAGACUCCUACGGGAGGCAGCAGUGGGGAAUAUUGGACAAUGGGCGAAAGCCUGAUGCAGCCAUGCCGCGUGUGUGAAGAAGGUCUUCGGGUUGUAAAGCACUUUAAGUUGGGAGGCGUUACCAGCAGAAUAAGCACCGGCUAACUUCGUGCCAGCCGCCGCGGUAAUAC
rnacentral:rRNA from 1 species